rnacentral:rRNA from 1 species
AUUGAACGCUGGCGGCAGGCCUAACACAUGCAAGUCGAACGCGUGGCGGACGGGAGAGAAGUGUCUGGAAAACUGCCUGAGAGAGGGGGAACACUACUAGAAACGGUAGAUUAUACCGCAUCCCAACGGAUGUCCCCAUAGGGGAUUAGCUAGUAGGUGGGGUAAAGGCUCACCUAGGCGACGACCCCUAGCUUGUCAGAGAGGAUGACCAGCCACACGGGAACUGAGACACGGUCCAGACUCCUACGGGAGGCAGCAGUGGGGAAUAUUGCACAAUGGGCGCAAGCCUGAUGCAGCCAUGCCGCGUGUAUGAAGAAGGCCUUCGGGUUGUAAAGUACUUUCAGCGGGGAGGCGUUACCCGCAGAAGAAGCACCGGCUAACUCCGUGCCAGCAGCCGCGGUAAUAC